CCAGGAUGAAAUAGAAUCAUGUCUUGACUUACCCUAAAUAAUAAUAUCUGGUGAUUCUUUUGUAGAAAUUCCAAGAAGAGAAGAGAAGGACCACAUUCCACAUAUUCAGAGUCCAUUGUCUUUACCAGACUGCUAAAGGGCUCCCAUUACAAGCCCCAUCUCCCCCCAAAAGGUAAGGAACCCUUGGAAUAGAUAAUCUCUAAGAUUCUUUUCAGCUUCUAUUCAUUGUGAUGCAAUGACUUC
rnacentral:lncRNA from 1 species